rnacentral:lncRNA from 1 species
AAGGAAGGAAGGAAGGAAGGAAGGAAGGAAAGAAGGAAGAAAAAGAAAAAGAAAAAGAAAGAAAGAAAGAAAGAAAGAAAGAAAGAAAGAAAGAAAGAAAGAAAGAAAGAAAGAAAGAAAGAAAGAAAGAAAGAAAGAAAGAAAGAAAGAAAGAAAGAAAGAAAGAAAGAAAGAAAGAAAGAAAGGAAGGAAGAAAGAAAGAAAGAAAGAAAGAAAGAAAGAAAGAAAGAAAGAAAGAAAGAAAGAAAGAAAGAAAGAAAGAAAGAAUUAAGGAAAGAAAGAAAGGAAGGAAGGAAGGGAG